rnacentral:rRNA from 1 species
AUACGGAGGGAGCUAGCGUUGUUCGGAAUUACUGGGCGUAAAGCGCACGUAGGCGGCCAUUCAAGUCAGAGGUGAAAGCCCAGGGCUCAACCUUGGAACUGCCUUUGAAACUAGAUGGCUAGAAUUCUGGAGAGGUCAGUGGAAUUCCGAGUGUAGAGGUGAAAUUCGUAGAUAUUCGGAAGAACACCAGUGGCGAAGGCGACUGACUGGACAGAUAUUGACGCUGAGGUGCGAAAGCGUGGGGAGCAAACAGGA